rnacentral:lncRNA from 1 species
ACUGUCAUACAGCAUCCAUGAGCAUGCACAAAAUUAAACCUGACAUACUUAACAUUGACAUGUUCAUAUUACACUAACAAGCUUAAACCUAACAUGCUGAACACCUUCUUAACAUCUUCACUCCUCCUUCUUCUCCUUCAUCAACCUGAUGCGCUCAGAGUGGCGAAUCCCAACGCGGAUGUACUCCUCUACCACAAUUGGCAUGGUCCUGUCGCCAAGCUGUGGGAUUGCAGGCGCCGCCACCAUCGCGAGGUCGUCGUCCGCCACCACCAUAGCAAGGUCGUCGUCCGCCACCACCAUAGCAAGGUCGUCGUUCGCCACCACCAUAGCAAGGUUGUCAUCCGCCACCACCAUAGCAGGGUCGUCGUCAGCCACCACCAUAGCAUGUUCG